UAGAGUUUGAUCAUGGCUCAUGAUGAACGCUAGCGGGAGGCCUAACACAUGCAAGCCGAGCGGUAUUGUUUCUUCGGAAAUGAGAGAGCGGCGUACGGGUGCGGAACACGUGUGCAACCUGCCUUUAUCUGGGGGAUAGCCUUUCGAAAGGAAGAUUAAUACUCCAUAAUAUAUUGAACGGCAUCGUUUAAUAUUGAAAGCUCCGGCGGAUAGAGAUGGGCACGCGCAAGAUUAGCUAGUUGGUGAGGUAACGGCUCACCAAGGCAAUGAUCUUUAGGGGGCCUGAGAGGGUGAUCCCCCACACUGGUACUGAGACACGGACCAGACUCCUACGGGAGGCAGCAGUGAGGAAUAUUGGUCAAUGGGUGCAAGCCUGAACCAGCCAUCCCGCGUGAAGGAUUAAGGUCCUAUGGAUUGUAAACUUCUUUUGUAUAGGGAUAAACCUACCCUCGUGAGGGUAGCUGAAGGUACUAUACGAGUAAGCACCGGCUAACUCCGUGCCAGCAGCCGCGGUAAUACGGAGGGUGCAAGCGUUAUCCGGAUUUAUUGGGUUUAAAGGGUCCGUAGGCGGACUUAUAAGUCAGUGGUGAAAUCCUGUCGCUUA
rnacentral:rRNA from 1 species